CCAGAGCCUUAUCACCCUGUAGCUCUCGCCUGGUGUCCCACUGGAGCUAAGCAGGGUUGAGCCUGGCCGUACCUGGAUGGGACUGUUAGGAGAACUCCUGGUCUCACUUUGGG
rnacentral:rRNA from 1 species